GGGGAUAUAGCUCAGUUGCGUAGAGCGUGUGACUUAUAAUCACAAGGCCCAGGGUUCGAGUCCCUGUAUCUCCA